CUGCAAACUCGAUCACUGGCUCUGCCUUUUGUGGCAGAUGCAAGGGGAACAGGUUUGCUAAAUGAAACAUGGCAACAGAAGUAUAAAUGCUUUAGAAUAAUAUUACUAAAGCAAUUUAUUCUGUACCAUAACACCU
rnacentral:snoRNA from 1 species